AACCUGCCAAAGCUGUUGGGAAAGCUGCAUUCGCUCCAGACGAUUGACAAGACGCACCACCAGUUCGGGGCCAACGACAGGUUU
rnacentral:tRNA from 1 species